CACACAGAGCUCUGAGAAGGAGACCAUCACCAACGUCUACACCAUCAGCUCAGUUAGUCUCUCUGAUGGAGGUCAGUACUGGUGCAGAGCUGGCAGAGGAAACCCAGUCUACUACACACACUUCAGUGAUGCACUCUGGGUAAACGUUACUGCUUCAGGUCCUGGAUCUGGAUCCACUGAAGUAAUAGUCGGAGUGUCAGUGGGACUGAGUCUAAUCUUGCUCCUCAUCAUCAUACUGGGCCUGAUUUGCUGCUACAAGAAGAGCAAAGGUGAUUCUGCAGCUCAGCCCAGUGAUGACACUUACGCUCAGAU